rnacentral:rRNA from 1 species
UACGGAGGGUGCGAGCGUUGUUCGGAAUCACUGGGCGUAAAGCGCGUGUAGGCGGCUCGAUAAGUCUGCUGUGAAAGUCCAGGGCUCAACCCUGGGAUGCCGGUGGAUACUGUCGAGCUCGAGUCCGGAAGAGGCGAGUGGAAUUCCUGGUGUAGCGGUGAAAUGCGCAGAUAUCAGGAGGAACACCAAUGGCGAAGGCAGCUCGCUGGGACGUGACUGACGCUGAGACGCGAAAGCGUGGGGAGCAAACAGG